rnacentral:rRNA from 1 species
UACAGAGGUCCCAAGCGUUGUUCGGAUUCACUGGGCGUAAAGGGUGCGUAGGCGGUCGGGUAAGUCUGAUGUGAAAUCUCACAGCUUAACUGUGAAACUGCAUUGGAUACUAUCCGGCUCGAGGAAUGGAGGGGAGACUGGAAUACUGGUGUAGCAGUGAAAUGCGUAGAUAUCAAGUGGAACACCAGUGGCGAAGGCGAGUCUCUGGACAUUUCCUGACGCUGAGGCACGAAGCCAGGGAGCAAACGGG